rnacentral:rRNA from 1 species
UACGAAGGGUGCAAACGUUGCUCGGAAUCAUUGGGCGUAAAGCGCACGUAGGCGGCUCCGCAAGUCGGAUGUGAAAUCCCUCGGCUCAACCGAGGACGUGCAUCCGAAACUGCAGAGCUUGAGUAUGGAAGAGGGUCGCGGAAUCCCCGGUGUAGAGGUGAAAUGCGUAGAGCUCGGGAAGAACAUCGGUGGCGAAAGCGCUCUGCUGGACUGCAACUGACACUCAGGGACGAAAGCUAGGGGAGCGAAUGGG